UUGUUCAGACAUACCACCCUGAAUUCACCUGAUCUCAUUUGAUUUCAGAAAUAAAGCAGGGUUGCUCCAGAUUAGUAUUCAGAUGGGAAACAAGGCUCUCAAAUUU
rnacentral:rRNA from 1 species